rnacentral:rRNA from 1 species
UACGAAGGGGGCUAGCGUUGUUCGGAAUCACUGGGCGUAAAGCGCACGUAGGCGGAUCUUUAAGUCAGGGGUGAAAUCCCGAGGCUCAACCUCGGAACUGCCUUUGAUACUGGCGACCUUGAGUUCGGGAGAGGUGAGUGGAACUGCGAGUGUAGAGGUGAAAUUCGUAGAUAUUCGCAAGAACACCAGUGGCGAAGGCGGCUCACUGGCCCGAUACUGACGCUGAGGUGCGAAAGCGUGGGGAGCAAACAGG